UCACCCUCUCCUUCUUCUUCUUUCACCUCCUCUCACUUAUCCACAUUGAAAUCAGAAAUUGCAAGAGAUUGCAAGAGAUUCGAAAACAAAAACAAAGAGUAAGGUAAAAACAAAAGGAACCACGAAGGAUUUUAAAUUUGGUCCAAUUUUUGGUUCUUCUGCUACGAUUUCUGGGAAUUCGAUUGAUUUUGGAGCUGUAAUGAAUGCUUGUUUGCGGUUUGUUACUUCGCUGAGUUCGUAGCUGAGUGCCAGCCAUCGCAUUCAGCCUUUAUUUGGCGUUCUCUGUUCGUUUUAUUCUGGCAGAAAGGACUGAUUGCAGUGCAUUCCUAAUCAAGUUUGUUGAGUUGUUGAUGAUGGGAAUGGAUGUGGACAAAUUCCAACCUGAGGACAUAUCAAACUUCAAAAAAGAACUUGCGGCAAAACUUUGGGAUCAUGGAGAGUGGAAAAGAAAUUCUAGUUAUGAAAUGACACCAGAGAAAGUCGGUGACGAUUAUGAUUGUCAAAAUAAGACUUCUUGCCUGAAUGAGUUGUAGUGUAGUAGUAUUGAAAGUCAACUAACUAUCCAGAUUGUAAUGGGAUGUAAAUGACAAUUAGAAUAUUACAGAAAUUAUAUUUGUCUUGAAUUCAGACCCAUAAGUCCUGAAGUUCAGUGUCGUAGUUCAAAUAUUCAGGACAUUGUCUUGAAUAUUGCAGAAAGUAUGUUAACUAAUGAUAGUUUAUGCUUUUUUGUA